rnacentral:lncRNA from 1 species
GGAAACAUUGCUUUUGCGCGUUCGUCCCGAAACGAAAAAAAAAGAGAUGAUCGGCUUGCCUCUAAGGAUAUAAAUCUGUGAUAAAGUGCUUUAAUAAUCACAAAAUAUAUAUCAAAUGUGGAUUACUCAAUGGCCGGCUAUCCACACAGUGCACCUAACAAAAUCAGCCGUUUAUAUAAGAGCUUCCAAUGAAUUGUGGAAAUUUUGGCGUGUGUUUUGAGAAUUGAAAAUUUGAUCUUUGGCUCAUCGAUAAGAUACUGCUGGGCCCUGUGUAUAAAUUCCAACUGCCAAAGCAGCGCUCAAGUAACACUUGAGAAAGCGAAAGUCAACUUUGGAAGUUAAUUAACGAUCCGCUGAUUAGAUUAGAAUAUGCUUAUUAACUACUGCCCGCGAUACGACAAAGGCACCUCAAAAUUGUAUUUCCAAGAAAUCGCCAAACAUCCAUGAGGUGCAGUUUUCGGUCCGAGCAUAACAAUUUUUCCCAUCGAUCUUAUCCAUCUGUUUGGCUAUGAAAGCUUGUGUCUCUCCAUCGAAAGUUCAAUUCAUAGCUGGCGACAUUCUUUUUCAUUUGAGUUGCUGCUGAUGUGGAUGUAGCCCCCUUCGUGUUACUUUGAGGCCUGGCUGCUUCUUCCUCGUUUUCGUUAUCUUAAGUACACAUUCUGAGGUACAAACGUCAGUUGGCGAUAAGGCCACGAAAAAAACAGCAACACCACCCGAAGAAGACAUCAAAAAGCAGUCAAGUCAACAACAAACAGAAAGAGCCGAGGAGCGCAGGGUGGAAAUCGAGCAUUGGGUGGGGGAUCCGACUGCUCUAAAUGCAAUCUGUUUGCACAAUACCGACCUGAACCCAUACCCAUAUUAUGGUCUACCUAUGCCUAAGCAUUUCUACCUUUUCAGCAUUUUCACGCUAAACAAAUCAUGCAGAUGUCAAACAUUUAAUUAGGUGCACCGCAGCCGAGAAAAACCAGGGAUAAUGUGAAUUUCUUAUACUCUAUAUAUAUGGUGUAUAGAUGGCAGAAUAUCGAGCGACUUACACGACUCAGCUGAGCUGCUUGGCGGCUUCGGUUUCUGCAUAUGGAAGAAAGGCGACCAUUUUGCAAUUCAUUUUGAAGCCCCAAUGCCCCAAUGUUGACUACAGAAAUAAUUUAUGGUGAAUGGACUUCAUUUCACGGCUAAUCAACAGGGGUAUCAAUCAAAUUACUGGACGGAGCCACCUCAGCACCACUCGAGUGGUGCACGAGCCAUUUCAACGAGCGGCACUCGCGACUUUACCCAACUUUUGUACAGUCACGUAGUCAGGCAGCCACCUCGUUCCUCCCACUGCCACCCACCAGCGCCACCUCCACGCUUACCGACCCACCCCCUUACAGACCCUCUCUGUGGGAUCCCCACAACUCGGCGAGCAAACAACCCUAGCAAUAAACAAAAACUGUUUUGCCACAUGAAAUGACUUUCAGAUUUUGUUGCUGUUGUCGUUUUGUAACGCGUGACUCCCAUAAAAAACAAGAACAACAACGGCAACCAGCGCACUGAAAGUUUAUUAAAAAGGAAAUAGAGCGAAAAAUAUAAAUAGAGGGAGAAGGCGGGGGUGUGACAGAGACAGAACGGAGGGGACUCAGCAAUGUGACGUUAUCUUAUCACUGAAAAUGUCGCUUUCGUAAAUGGCGGCGCACAAAAUAAUAUAAUACACACUUACUCCACCCCAACGUACAUAUAUGUGUGCAUGUGCAUAUGUACAUCCCCCACACAUAUGUAUGUACAUAUGCACAUCCACUCUCUGAUAUUUUAUUCUCGCCUGUAAUUGCUUAAUUCUAGAGUGGCUCUGCGUAGAGGACAUCCACUUUACAUAUCUCCUAAAAAUCAGAAAAUAUAUUAAAAUGUAUCUGAAGUGUAUCUGUAUGUAUUCCCUUAUUUUUCAUAAAUAAGCGCUUUAUAUCUAUAACAAAUUUUUGCACCUAUCAAAGAUGUGUAGUACACAUUGAGUACCUACCUAUAAGUAUACUUUUUUCGAAUAGCUGUCCCUUUUCCAUUAUUCUCUAAUAAAAAACAAUUAGAUACUCUACUGUUCUAAUAAUUCUCUUUUUGUACUAAUAUCACAUUUAAAGAAAAUAAAAAAGUAUUACCAACUAA